AGAGUUUGAUCCUGGCUCAGGAUGAACGAUGGCAACAUGCUUAACACAUGUAAGUCGAACGCGAAGUGAUGUUUCUAGUGGCAGACGGGUGAGUAAGGCGUAAGAACCAGUCCUUGAGAUGGGAACAACAACUGGAAACGAUUAUUAAUAUCCCGUAGGCUAAGAAGCAAAAGGAGGAAUCCACUUAAGGAGGGGCUCUCGUCUAAUUAGCUAGUUGGUGAGGCAAUAGCUUACCAAGGCGAUGACCAGUAGCUGGUUUGAAAGGAUGAUUAGUAGCUAGUUCGAGAGGAUAAUCAGCUACACUGGGACUGAGACACGGCCUAGACUCAUACGGGAGACACCAGUGGGGAAUUUUCCGCAAUAGGUGAAAAACUGACGGAGCAGUACUGUGUGGAGGUAGAAGGGCCAUGGGCCAUGAACUUCUUUUCUUCGAAAAGCAAUAACGGUAUCUGAGGAAUAAACAUCGGUUAACUCUAUGCCAGCAACCAUGAUAAGACAGAGGAUGCAUGCAUUAUCUAGAAUGAUUGGAUAUAAAGCGUCUAUAGGUGGCUUUUCAAGCCCGCCGUCAAAUCCCAAGCUCAAGCUUAGAUAGGUGGUGCAAACUACCAAGUUAAAGUACAGUAGGGGCAGAGGGAAUUUCCGGUGGAACGGUAAAAUGCAUAGAGAUAAAAAAAAAUACCAACAAUGAAAGCACUCUACUAGGCAAACACUAAAACUGAGUGAUAAAAGUUAGGGAAGCAAAUGGGAUUAGCUACCCCGCUAGUCCUAGCCGUAAAUGCUGGAUACUAGGCAUUGUGCGUAUUGACCAGUGCAACAUUGUAGCAAACGCAUUAAAUAUCUCGCCUGGGGAAUACGUUAGCAAGAAUGAAACUCAAAGGAAUUGACAGGGUCCAGCACAAGCAGUGGAGCAUGUAAUUCGACGCAAAGCGAAGAACCUUACUAGGGCUUGACACGUAGCGAAUCGUCUUAAAAGAGAAGGGUGCCCUUGGGAACAAGGACACAGGUGGUGCAUGGUUAUCGUUAGCUUGUGCCGUAAGGUGUUGGGUUAAGCCUCACAACAAGCGACACCCUCAUGUUCAGUUGUCAGCAUUGAGUUUGGAAUUCUGAACAAACUACUGGUCAUAAGCUAUUGGAAGAUGAGGAUGACGUUAAGUCAUUAUGCCCCUUAUGCUAUAGGAGGCCCACGUGCUACAAUGGGCGGAACAAAGGGUUGUGAUCCUAUGAGGGUGAGUUAACUCCAAAAACCCAUCGUCAGUUUGGAUUGCAAGCUGCAACUUGCUUGCAUGAAGUCGGAAUCACUAGUAAUCACCGAUCAGCCAUACACAAUAGGAGUUGUACACACAGCCUUUUACACUAUAGGAGUUGGCUAUACCCAAAAUCGUUACCUUAACCGCAACGAGGGGGAUGCCGAAGGUAAUCGUUACCUUAACCGCAACGAGGGGGAUGCCGAAGGUGGGGCUA
rnacentral:rRNA from 1 species